AUGGAGGAUGCACCUCUGUACAAGCAGCGCCGCAGGUACACUAGGGAGCUCCACGACGUCGACCUCCACGGCAACCACAAGCUCCACGUCGUUUUCACAAGCAAGGGUCAAGAUGUGGUCGAGAUGUUAUCCACGCUCAAGAGGAAGCUCGGCGGAAUGCCCGUCAAACUAGUCGGCGUUGAUGUCGAGUACACGCAUUACGUGAAGCCAUAG
rnacentral:rRNA from 1 species